AGACCGAUAGCGAACAAGUACCGUGAGGGAAAGAUGAAAAGCACUUUGGAAAGAGAGUUAACAGUACGUGAAAUUGUUGGAAGGGAAACGCUUGAAGUCAGACUUGCUAUUCGGGGCUUGCUCCGAGUUGCAGGCCAGCAUCAGUUUUUCGGGGCGGAAAAUCACGGAUUGAAGGUAGCAGUUUCGGCUGUGUUAUAGCUUUCCGUUGGAUACGUCCUGGGGGACUGAGGAACGCAGUGUGCUUUUAGCGAGGGCUUCGGCUCUUUCACACUUAGGAUGCUGGUGGAAUGGCUUUAAACGACCCGUCUUGAAACACGGACCAAG
rnacentral:rRNA from 1 species